rnacentral:rRNA from 1 species
GACGAACGCUGGCGGCGUGCUUAACACAUGCAAGUCGAACGGAAAGGCCCUGCUUUUGUGGGGUGCUCGAGUGGCGAACGGGUGAGUAACACGUGAGUAACCUGCCCUUGUCUUUGGGAUAACUUCACGAAACUGGGGCUAAUACCGGAUAGGAGCUCCUGCUGCAUGGUGGGGGUUGGAAAGUUUCGGCGUUUGGGGAUGGACUGGCGGCUUAUCAGCUUGUUGGUGGGGUAGUGGCUGACCAAGGCUUUGACGGGUAGCCGGCCUGGGAGGGUGGACGGCCACAUGGGGACUGCGGUAAGGCGCAGACGCCUACGUGAGGCAGCAGUGGGAAAUAUUGCACAAUGGGAGGAAGCCUGAUGCAGAAGCGCCGGGUGCGGGAUGACGGCUUUUGGGUUAUGAACCGCUGUCGCCUGUGACGAAGCGUGAGUGACGGUAAUGGGUAAAGAAGCACCGGCUAACUACGUG